AAGAGAUUUCCCCCUUACUCCUACGAGACAGCACUGCAGGGUAAUAUCGCACAAUGCGAAAACGCGUGACACAGCGACCGCGCGGGAGGGAAAGUGUUUUCAGGUUAACCCCUCUUUCAGGAAAGAUAAGCUAAAGUGACGGUAGCACACAAGAAAGCCAGGCCCACGGCUAACUUGCAGCCGGCAUCCGCGUAGAGGCCAAGCGUCUACCGGAUUUAUUGUGUGUAAAGAGUUAUGAGGCGGUAGGGUAAGUCGGUAGCGAUAAGUGGAAGUCUCACCCUCUGACUGGCAAUGGAUGAGGGCAUCAGUUGAGUUCGGGAGAGGAGAAGGGACUUCUAGUUGUAGCGGUGAAAUGGAAAGAUAUAGAGAUGAAGACCAAUACCGAAGGCGACUCUGUCGCUCGAGACCGUCCCUGACGAUGGAAAGCGAUGGGGAGCAGGCACAGAUCAGAUUUCGAUGGUCGUGCUAGCCCUCAACCUAGAUCACGUAGAUGUGGGGGUCUCAGGUUCGUCUCCCGUGUCGCAGCUAACGCAUUAAGGCUCCGCCUGGGGAGUACGGCCGCAAGGUUG
rnacentral:rRNA from 1 species